CAUUGCACCGCUCUCUCUCCUUUCGUCAGGGUUUCGACGAAAGCAAACAAAGUCUGAGAUCGUAUCGCUGCACUCAAAGGUGUCUGAUAAUCAAGCAAAUCAAUAAAGGGUGAUCUAAGAAACAAAGGAGAUAUUGAGAAACUCUUCUCCAAACAGAGGUUUGAUGUUGUGAUCCAUUUCGCGGGUCUUAAAGCUGUGGGUGAAAGGCUGAAAGCGUUGGCAACCCUGGCCGCUACUUCUACAAUAACUUGGUUGGAACUAUCAAUCUUUACGAGACCAUGGCAAAGCACAACUGCAAAAUGGUGAGGGACUACAUCCAUGUGAUGGAUUUGGCUGAUGGACAUAUCGCUGCACUGAGGAAGCUAUUUGAUGAUCCAAAGAUAGUGUACAAGUGGAUGAGUUUGGGUUGAUACGUUUGAAGCCAUGGAUGCAAACUUCACUGUGGUUUGCAGUGUACAAGUGGACAUCGAUUACAUGUUGUACACGUGGAUAUAGUCAUCAUCGAUUACAUGUUGUACACGUGGAUAUAGUCAUCUAAUUGUACAUGUGGAUAGUACAAUAUGUGUACACCAUAUACCACAAUAUGUGUACACUUUGAAAACUUUUA